CAAGUAAAAAGUGUUAAAUUAAACCGGCAAGACUUGUUUGACUUCAUCCAGGUAAGCGGGCUGGCGUGUUCAUAUGGAAAAAUUUGCAUCCCGCCUACCUAUGAUCUCGGCAAAUUCAAACGAGAUCUCGGCAAGCGGGCCAGGUCGCUUUCUCAUAUGAACACAAUGCAAAAUUUUAUAGGAAAAUAGAUAGGCGGCGAGAUCAUCGGUAAGCGAGACGUCCUGGUAAGCGGGAUCAUAUGAACAGGCCCUUAGUGACUCCGCUGAACGGAAUGAUUGCAGUCAAUGGUUUACACCUAAAAAAAACAUGGCGGAAAAUGUUUCAAAAAAGGUAUUUUUUAUCUACAUUUUAUAAUAAUAUAUAAAUAUUAUUGCAUUU